rnacentral:lncRNA from 1 species
CACGCAAAUUACAAAUAAUAAGUAAUAUAAAAUAUCAAUGUACAAUCUAAAGUCAAAAUAUAUGUAUCUUUGUGUAAAAAAAUCUGAUAACUGAAUAAAAAAACUUCAUAAUGAACGAAAACAUAAGAAGUUAAUUUUUAACACGUGUGUACCGGGAAAUUAAUUCACUGGGGCUAAGUAUAAUACUAAUACCGACCAGAGAUAGAUUACAUAUGUGUUUUGGUACAAUGUAAAACGGAACAAAACGUCAAGCAAGACAUUUUCGACAUUUUUCCAUGAUAAGUUUUGACUAGAAGGAUAUCAUUAAAAAAAAAUGGAUAACGUCCGAUUUCCCAACAGUAGUUGCAAAACCGGUUAUUUACAUCACAAAAGAAAUAAAGAAAAUAGAGAAAAUAAUAAUACUUCCCAACAAACAUGAAAUAUUCAUUAAAACAUAUCGAAAGUCAUAAUUUUCAUAUUUUCUAGUACCUAGAUGCACACCAUCAAUUAAACAUGUAUCAGAAGGAAAAGCAAAAUACUCGUUCACACUAAAAAAAUACAAAAAGUAUCUACAAAAAGCACAUGUCUAUUGUUAUGUACAAGUCACAAUAAAAUAUUUCGAUAUACGGCAACCUGCAUAAUAAACAAAAUAAUGAAGUAGUUUCGCCUUGACAGUGGUAAAAUACUAUGACGUUACGCGCGAUGUUCGUACCUCUUUGAAAGAUCGGUGUAGAUGGCAAGAUGAAAGUCCAAAAUAUAUAGUUUUGUGAUAUCAUAGUUAUUGCUUUUGUACGUAUGAAAAAAAAUGUUUUUUAAAAUAAAAACGAAGAAAAUAAUUGUUGAAACUAUGUUUUAUGCUGCAUGCGACAAGCUUCAUUUCGGCUAUUUUUAGGCUGUCCCUAGUGACAUAUUUCAUUUAUUAUAACCACUAAACUAUGAGUUUCGUCCAUUUAUAUAAACUAUUUAAUAUUUGAAAAACGUUUUUUUCCAUUAUUUAACAGAUAGGUUCCUUCAGUCUUUUAUGCAUUUUUUUUAUGACGUUAUGAUGACGUCAUAGAAAAAAGGCGAUCCAUACUAAAGCGGCAAAUCUGUCCCACGGAAAAAAAAUUGGAUUCCAGAUUUGAGAAUCAAUAAAACAUUUAUCUAAAAUGACAAAAGUUAGUAUUUGUAUUUACUACAUCAAUGUUAAUUUGCUUAGUUUUAUGAAUUUAAAGAUAAAUAUCAUGAAAAAUAAAAUAUGGUUAUUUAUGAGCGAUUUUUUAAAGGCUUACAAGGUUGUCGCACUGCCAUUUUUUGACGUAAAAACGUACUCAACUCAAAUUUACAUCAAUUGUUUGCCUAUCAGUGCUCUUAAAAUGGUAGAGUUUAUGACUUUUUAAAAUGUUAUUUUUCUUAAUUUUUCAAAAAUCUAAAAAAAAUCAAUUUUCAAAAAGUAGUUAAAAAGCACCGUCGAUUUUGCGGAGUCUUACAAGAAUGUUGCACUUGCUUAAAAACAACGUUUUAGUCAAAGUUUUAGUUUGAACGUUACGAAAUAUUCGCGACGUUGUGUUACGCUUACAUGUACGAACAUGUCUAUUAACACAUAUAAAAUAUAAAUCUACUCAAAUAAAGUCAUAACAACCAACUACAAUGCAUCAAUCUAGAAAUAUCUAGAAACUAUUGGAAUGAUAUUGGACAUAUACUGAUAAAGUCUAGGAUCUUCGAUCGUCGAUAGGUGCGAAGUAGAGACUGGACCAAUCAGCAUAUAAGAAUAAGAAAUCGAAGUACUGCAGUACAGUACUGAUCAUCGGAUGACCGCAAUUUCUUGUGGAAUGUCACAAGCACUUGUCUCAUAAAAAAAACCACACCCUUAUACCUGAAAGUAAGGUAUUCGAGACUACUUUAACACGUAUAGUAGUCUCAUGGUCAAUGUACGUACCGAUGUAUUUUUUUUCUGAGACAAGCUCUUGUGUGGAAGAUAAAUAAAUGAAAGGGAAUUCAACAUCACCAUAAUAACUAUUAUAUAUAUAUAUUGUAGUGAUACAAAUCAAUAUACUCUGGUUUAUAUUUUAUUUAUAUUUGUACAAAUAAAAAAGAAGAUGUGGUAUGAUUGCCAAUGAGACAACUGUCCACAAGAGACCAAAAUGACCCAGACAUUAUCAACUAUAGGUCACCGUACGGCCUUCAACAAUGAGCAAAGCCCAUACUGCAUAGUCAGCUAUAAAAGGCCCCGAUAUGACAAUGUAACACAAUUCAAACGAAAAAAACUAACGGCCUUAUUUAUAUAAAAAAAAAUGAACGAAAAACAAAUAUAUGUGUAACACAUAAACAAACGACAAGCACUGAAUUACAGGCUCCUGUACAUGUUUAUAUAAUUUUCAUCCAUUUGUAUAUCAUUUUAUUCUACCAGUCAAUUAUAGUGCAGAGCAAGUGCAUGGUGGAAUCUCUUCUAUAAUAGCUUUUCUUAUAGAUUAGAUUUGAAUAGGCAUUCAUAUUUUCCCGCAAAACGAGAGAGCUAUGACCAAUAACUCUGCAUGUUUCUGUAUAUAAUCUUCACCUCCUUUAUAGGAGAUUGCAAUCGUUCUUGAGAUAUUCUUACGCCUGUGUUAACACAAUUUUUCUGUACGUAUGCAUAGAUAUUAAUAACUUUUACUUGCAUAGAUAUAAAACAUUUUCAUAUUAUUAAAUUAUGUUAAAAAAAUAUUUGAUGAGUAUUCAUUGAAGAAAUGAAAUUAAAGCAAGUGAUAAGGAAUGUUAUUUUGCACUCGAUGUUAUCGGCGUAUUUAUCAUCUUCAUAGAUCGGUUAAAAACCCAAAACUUAUUUACAUAAUGGAAAUAUAGAAGUAGCAAUACACCGGAAUGCCCUCAACAGUUACCCGCUGUAAAAAGUAGAAAAAAACCCUGCAAUUUCGAAUUUCUUUAGAAAUUCACCUUAAUAUAGGAUAUUACCCAACAUCAUAUUUGUGGUAUAAAUAGCAUAAAAAAUAUCCUAACACGAUAUAAUAGUAAGAUGUAAUAUGGCAAUUGCUACCAAAUAUUUAAAAACAGAACACGUUACCCAUUUAUAACACUGAUUUGAAUGAAUGAUUAAAUAAAUGAAUCUUUAUUGCAUUAGCA